AUACGGUGAAUACGUUCCCGGGCCUUGUACACACCGCCCGUCAAGCCAUGGAAGCUGGGUGUACCUAAAGUCGGUAACCGUAAGGAGCCGCCUAGGGUAAAACUAGUAACUGGGGCU
rnacentral:rRNA from 1 species